GAUGAACGCUGGCGGCGUGCCUAAUACAUGCCAGUCGAGCGAACGGACAAGAAGCUUGCUUCUCUGAUGUUAGCGGCGGACGGGUGAGUAACACGUGGAUAACCUACCUAUAAGACUGGGAUAACUUCGGGAAACCGGAGCUAAUACCGGAUAAUAUUUUGAACCGCAUGGUUCAAAAGUGAAAGACGGUCUUGCUGUCACUUAUAGAUGGAUCCGCGCUGCAUUAGCUAGUUGGUAAGGUAACGGCUUACCAAGGCAACGAUGCAUAGCCGACCUGAGAGGGUGAUCGGCCACACUGGAACUGAGACACGGUCCAGACUCCUACGGGAGGCAGCAGUAGGGAAUCUUCCGCAAUGGGCGAAAGCCUGACGGAGCAACGCCGCGUGAGUGAUGAAGGUCUUCGGAUCGUAAAACUCUGUUAUUAGGGAAGAACAUAUGUGUAAGUAACUGUUCACAUCUUGACGGUACCUAAUCAGAAAGCCACGGCUAACUACGUG
rnacentral:rRNA from 1 species